rnacentral:rRNA from 1 species
UACGGAGGGUGCAAGCGUUAUCCGGAUUCACUGGGUUUAAAGGGUGCGUAGGUGGGUCUGUAAGUCAGUGGUGAAAUCUCCGAGCUUAACUCGGAAACUGCCAUUGAUACUAUAGGUCUUGAAUUAUCUGGAGGUAAGCGGAAUAUGUCAUGUAGCGGUGAAAUGCUUAGAUGUGACAUAGAACACCAAUUGCGAAGGCAGCUUACUACGGAUCGAUUGACACUGAGGCACGAAAGCGUGGGGAUCAAACAGG